rnacentral:rRNA from 1 species
AGCGAACGUUAGCGGCGGGCCUAACACAUGCAAGUCGAACGCGAAAGGUCUUCGGACUGAUUAGAGUGGCGCACGGGUGAGUAACACGUAGGUAAUCUACCCUUUGGCGGGGGAUAACGUUCCGAAAGGAGCGCUAAUACCGCAUAAGACCACGGAGUCUCCGGACGCUGUGGGAAAAGGUGGCCUCUUCUUGAAAGCUAUCACCGGAGGAUGAGCCUGCGUCCCAUCAGCUAGUUGGUAAGGUAAUGGCUUACCAAGGCAAAGACGGGUAGCUGGUUUGAGAGAAUGAUCAGCCACACUGGCACUGGAACACGGGCCAGACUCCUACGGGAGGCAGCAGUGAGGAAUAUUGGGCAAUGGGCGAAAGCCUGACCCAGCCACGCCGCGUGAGUGAUGAAGGCCCUCGGGUCGUAAAGCUCUGUGGAGAGGGACGAAAAACCGUGGGGUCUAAUAGGCCCGGACUUGACGGUACCUCUUUAGCAAGCACCGGCUAACUCUGUGCCAGCAGCCGCGGUAA